UGUUUCGUCAUUUCGAUUUCUUUAGUACAGUUCAAAAGAUUCAGCGGUACACAAGGUACAUAAAAAAAAUUAGUAAAAAAAAAACGAAAAAAAUACAAUCUGAUGUCGUCUGGAAUAACGGUUUCACGUGACAGAACUACACAUAUCUAUGACGACAUCCACGUACCUGUGCCACGUGCAGAAACUUUUGAGGAACAACAUUACUGCCAGCCACCGAAAAUAACGAAGGAGACAUUCCCUACGCGUAUUUCACACCAUUACGAAAAAGUUGUUGGAUUAGCAAAAACAAAAAAGAACCGGAUGUGCGUUUUUGGUAUCGUUUCCUCGCUGGUGGCCAUUUUCAGUUUAACUGGUGCAAUCAUUUUCAGUAUUUUCUAUGCUAAGCCAGCGAUCUGUGAUAAAUUACUCAAAGCAAAUACUCAACAAUCCAGCCAUGACAGUUGUGCAAACAGGUCAAUUGAGCUGGAAACAGGAAACAACAAUGACUUGAUUGAAAAUUGGUUGAUGGUUUGUAAACCGUCUGGAAAUCAAGGUGGAACCAGUAUAAUCUGCCCUGAGUCGAAAUCAGUUGUGAUCACUAAAGUGAACAUUACAUGGUACACUUAUACGGGACAGACGAACAUGCCGAACUGUGAUGUUUCGCCAAGCUGUAUUAAACCAAGUGAUAAUAUUACGGAUUAUAUGAGAAUUUAUUGUGCUGGAAAGCCUUCUUGUGUGAUAGAUUCUAAGUAUUUAAAUAAACAUAGCAAAUCGUGCCAAGAACAAGGAUAUGACCUGCUGGAAGUUACAUUUUUGUGUUCAUAGGUGCUAAAAAAAACUUGUAAUACUUUUUACCUCUAUCUCUCACUUUCUCUGUCUUUAAUGUUUGUCUGUCGCUCUGGCUUGCUAUAUGUCUGUCUGUCUACUAAACUCCAAAACAUAUAAAUAAACUAAAAUUAUAAAACAUACAAGACUAACAAAGGACAGAGGUUCCUGACUUUGGACAGGUGCAAUAAUGGGGCGGGGUUAAACAUGUUUUGUGAGAUCUCAACCCUCCCCUAUACCUCUAGCCAAUGUAGAAUAAACAAACACACAGCAAUACGCACAUUAAAAAAUCAGUUCAAAAGAAGUCCGAAUCCGAUGUCAGAAUAGGUAACAAAAGAAACUAAGCAGUAUGGCAAUGAUACAUAAAUUAACAAAGAACUACUACCAGUUACUGACAUGCCAGCUCCAGACCUCAAUUAAACUGAUUAAAGAUUAUGUAUUCAUCUUAUGAAAAUCAAGCACAAUCCCUUAGGGGUUUAGUAUCAUAUCAUCAUAAAAUAUAUGAGAAGAACAUAACCCGUAACUAAUUUUGUAUGUCUGUCUUUAUGUUGGUCAGUCCCUCUCUCCCGGAGUGUUUACGCGUAAGAUUAGAUCUGCUCUGCCGACUCUAGACUAUUUAGAGCUUUUCAUUCGGUAGGAUGCUUGGCAUCGGAUGUUGACGACGGUAACAUUGUACCUCUAGCUUUCCAAUUUGAAUUAGUAGCAAAAUGGUGUUAUUAUUUUAUUAAUAUAAAUCAUUAUAUCCAGCAUUGUCUUCGACGUGUAAUACUGUAAACCAACUAAUUUUCGCGAUCGACUUAUUUUCGCAACUUUCGCGAGUAGAAAUAAAUCGCGAAUAUAGAUCGUUGUAAAUAAGUAAAACUUAGAUCCUCACUUAUUUAAAUGUAUUAAGUACAUUUGAAAAUCAUGAAAUUAAAUCGGCGCGAAAUGGAAGAGUUGUCUCAUUGACACUCAUACCACAUCUUCUUGUAUUUAUAAAGAAAGAGCAAAACGCGAAAUAAUAUAUCCGCAAAAAAAUUAUCCACUGAAAGCUAGUUCAGAGCCAAUAACAACUUAUAAAACCAUCAUGUAUCCAAGACUAUAAUACAUGUAUCAUUCAGUACACAUCCAAUGAAUUCAGUGUAAAUACGUCAAAACAGUCAAAGAAUGACUUCCUAUGCACUGUUACUAUGUAAACAAUAAGGGGAAAAAAAUCCCGGAUUCAAUAUCCCAAAGCAGGUUUAAUGAUAGUACAUUAACAUUUUAUUUCCUGGCUAUAAAACACAUUAAAUAGGAUAAAACGAGAUUUACCAAAAAUAUUUGACAGAUCAUACCGACCUCCAACAAUCGAAUCCUCCGAAUUCUUUAAUCUGCCACGUGAAAUGAAAAUGUUCAUCAACCAAUCAAUCUCUGUUAAUUUAGACAGCUGACUAAUAUAGCGCUGACAUUUUCUUGUGUAUGGCGGAUGGGGCAUGUUUUGUUUUUUGUUUUUUGUUGGUUUUUUUUUUUGCUCUUUAGGGUGCACAACCUUUUUUGGCUUUAAUUAAAAAUAAAAAUUGUUUCCAAUAAAAUAUAAGAAAACGAUUUUUUGGGGGAGUUUAAAUGUUAUUUACCCCCUAAUUUUUAAUUGAAGCAAACUAUUUUUCUCUGUCCUUCUGAAACAAUAUUUUUAUCAAGAUAAUUAGAAUCAAACAUUUUAUUUUUUGAAGAAAGCAUGCCCUCCACAAUAGGUAAAUAGUCGAUGCCUUUGACCACACAAAAAUAAUACGUUCUAGGAAAAACAGUCUAUCAGAUAUUUAUUUUUUUCUUUUUACAAAAUGAAAACAGUUUUUAACUUCAAACACUUGAAUUUUGACAUCAAAUUGUCUAAAUAGUCCAUAUUGUUUCCUCAUUAUCUAAAACAAUAUAUUUCCGUAUUUGCUCAGGAAAUCAUAAUUAGGUUUUCCUAUCAAUACAACUGGUUCGUAUCAAGUUUUAAGACCAUACGUUCUGAGCCAUGUUUCAUGCAUUUGUCAAAAUCAUAUCUAUUUUGUUCCAUGCAAACCAAUGAACAAAAAAUACGUCAAUUAGACAGCAACCAAACGACAUAAAUAAACAAAAGAUACAGAGAGUGCGACAUACAGUCUUCAAUAAUUGACCCCGAUGGUAAAUACAAAAUUCAAAGAUCUAAAUCUAAAAUCUUGUUCCAUGCUAUCGCAAUAGAAGAGGAUCAAGAUGGGAAGGCUUAAUUUCUGUUUUCUUAAAAUGUUUAGGGCCAUUUUCCUUUUUUCAAAUCUGAUACGUUAUGGUGGAUACCUACAGUUUGUGGAGUCAAUGUUCAAAAUGUUAAAACCACAAAAACUCACAAAAACAGCAACUAAUGGUCGUAUUUAACAGUUUCCGUCUUGUAGGAUCCCGACUGCUUAAUUUCAAACACAACGCGUACUGAUUGUAAAUAAUUUUAGUUCCCUAAAUUGUGUGUAUCAUCAUUUUCGAUUGCGUUAGUAUAGUUCAAAAGAUUCAGUGGUACACAAAGUACAUCAAACAAAAUUAGUUUAAAAAAACGAGAAAAAUACGAUCUGAUGUCGUCUGGAAUUACGGUUUCACGUGACAGAUCUACACACAUCUAUGACGACAUUCACGUACCCGUGCCACGUGCAGAAACUGAUGAGGAACACGAUAACUGCCAGCCAACCAACAAUGAAAAAACGAAGAAGACAUUUCCUAAUCGUAUUUCACACCAGUAUGAAAAACUUAUUGGAUUAGCAAAAACAAAGAAGAACCGAAUGUGCGUUUUUGGUAUCGUUUCCUCAUUGGUGGCCAUUUUUAGUUUAACUGGUGCUAUCAUUUUCAGUAUUGUCUAUGCUAAGCCAGCGUUCUGUGAUAAAUUACUCAAAGAAAACUGGUUGAUGGUUUGUAAACCGUCUGGAAAUCAAGGUGGAACCAGUAUAAUCUGCCCUGAGUCGACAUCAGUUGUAAUAACUAACGUGAGCAUUACACGGUACACAUAUAAACGACAGAGUAAAAUGCCGGACUGUGAUAUCUCGUCAAGCUAUAUCAAACCAAGUGACAAUAUUACAGAUAUUAUGAAUAAUUAUUGUGCUGGAAAGCCUUCUUGUGUGAUAGGUUCUGAGUAUUUUGAUCAACAUAGUGAAUCGUACCAAGAACAAGGAUAUGACCUGCUGAAAGUUACAUUUUUGUGUUCAUAGUUGUUAUAAAAUUGGAUUGGUAAGCUUAUCCUGCUCCGCACGUGACACCUGUCGUGUUGCUUAAAUAAAUACUAUUUUUUACAUUCGACAGAAUGUGUCAAACAUACAAAUUUUGAAAUUUGAAAACAGGAGUAAGGGCCGAUUUUGGCCUCAAAAUUAAGGUUCAUCUGAUGAAAGAUUUUGGACACUUUUUAAACACUUAAGUGUCUACUUCGGUUGAUUCAUUUUAUUUUUUGUGAAAGAUUUGAACUGAUUUAGUCAUUAAAGACGCUCAAAUUCAAGCUUAAAUAUGAAAAAUCUAUCAAAUAUGCCAUAAUAUGUCACUUUUCAGAUGGUUGUUGUCAAAAAUGAAAGUGGCCGCAUCCGUGUUCAUUAUCAACCUUUAUAUAUGUUAUGUAUUAUCAUCAAAUACAACUUACAUUUAGAUAUUAAGAAUCAACACAAAUGCAGCCACUUCCAUUUCAGACGGAAUCUGUCUAAAAAUUAACCAAAAUGCUAAAAUUUUGAAGAUUUCAGUAAUUUAGCAUGACUUAAUGAUGCUAGUACCCGAUACAUGUGCAUAUUAUUGUCAAAAACAGUCCAUAUUUAUGUAACAGAAGUAUUCUUCUUUUCAAUAAAUAGCUAAACAAUU